rnacentral:rRNA from 1 species
CCUACGGGUGGCUGCAGUCGGGAAUAUUGCGCAAUGGAGGAAACUCUGACGCAGUGACGCCGCGUAUAGGAAGAAGGUUUUCGGAUUGUAAACUAUUGUCGUUAGGGAAGAGAAAGGACAGUACCUAAGGAGGAAGCUUUGGCUAACUACGUACCAGCAGCCGCGGUAAUACGUAGGGAGCGAGCGUUAUCCGGAAUUAUUGGGUGUAAAGGGUUCGUAGACGGGAAUGAAAGUUAGUUGUGAAAUCCCUGGGCUUAACUGAAGAACUGCAACUAAAACUACAUUUCUUGAGUGCAGGAGAGGUAAGUGGAAUUCCUAGUGUAGCGGUGAAAUGCGUAGAUAUUAGGAGGAACACCAGUGGCGAAGGCGACUUACUGGACUGUAACUGACGUUGAGGCACGAAAGUGUGGGGAGCAAACAGGAUUAGAUACCCUGGUAGUC